CUUGUUGUUUAGCUUUCAGGCUUAUAGAUUCACACCUCCCAAGUUAGUCCUGAUUUUGGACCUCUGUCUUACCAUACCUAUAUUUUCUUUUUUUUUUUGUUUCUAAGAAGCAGUUUGUUUUCCGCUUUGUUUUCCUGACACUAUAGUGAACCUUUAAGUGCACUGCAGGCUACAUAAGAAUACCGUCAGCAUCUGUCACUCUGCGCAUGCAUGUGUGCUUGGUUGACUGGUUGGCAAGUUGUUGUUUCUCCACAAUCUAACACAGCCUUCAUGUUAGGAAGAUGCCAAAUGUCACUGGUAGACUUGUGCAUGCGAUUUCAGACUAAUAGUGAAUUAUCUGAAUUUUUUCCUUCACAAAACAAGCGAAACAGACAAUGAACAAG